UCCUUCACUGUAAAGCUGGACUUUAUUGAACUAACAUGUGAGUUUGUAUAUUUAUUUUUAGCAAAAAAAGUUCCAAUAUGUUCAUGUUUCUUUGCUUAACGCGGCAUUUUACCUUCGUAAAUUUACCCAAAUUGAAAACACCCCAUUUAUAAAUCCAUUCUUUUCAAUUGCUGAAAAUUGUUUGUUGUGGCUGGGAAAACAAGUGUUUGGAAUUAUACUGCAGAAAUUAUUAAUGACAUUUAAUUUACAAUUUUUUUUAAACAUAAAAUAAUGAAUACACUACGGAUACUAUCGAACAGGAAGGGGAAAUGCCAUUCCAUCUUCUUUACAAAAACCAGAAGCAAAAUAGCACAGGUUAUGAAAUUAAAUUUUAUCAAAUUUCA